AAACAUGAGUGCAUACAAAUAAAUAAAUAAAUGCAUAUCAUUUAUGUACCCCAGCUACAAAUAUUUCUAUAACACUGUAUACCAAUGCUUUCCAGGAUAAAAUCGUAUAAAAAAAAAUUAAUAUGCAUGAGAAGAACUUAAUUACCAAUAGAAUCAAAUGAGAAGACUUUCUAGAAAGUCAAGAAGACAUGGAGAACAUUGGUGUGCCAGCAACACGUUGCAUUUGAACAAGAAAGUCAUUUACACAGAAUAAAAUGUCCAUGCAUCUCAGUUCAUCACCACAUUAAUGUCUAUUCUUUCAGAACUGGUUAAUUCACGUCAACAAUAUGUCGCUUGUAAACUAGAAAUGCUUUUGGGCUUGCUUAGUUGGUUAAACUAGAAAUACUUUUAAGCAUGGUUGGUUAAACUAGAAAUGCUGUAGGACAACUCUAGGCAGAUCAGGUUUUUAACUCCAGUGACCAAGUCUACAUGGCCAACUGGUUAAGGAAAGAAAGAAGACAAGAAUUCUGUAGGUUAUAAAUUAGGCAUUAAUAAACUUCACUAAUAAUAAGAAUAAUGCUUUGAAGAAUAUUUUUUUAAAACUUUGUUCAAUUCAUAGAAAGCAAAAUAAUGUCUCUAUAAGAUCAGGCUAAAGAGCUACAGUAUGUAUCUAUAUUCUGUUUCUAAAUAAAGAUGACCAGAUACUCUGAUAAACUCAC